GUGCCAGCAGCCGCGGUAAUACGUAGGGGACAAGCGUUGUCCGGAAUUAUUGGGCGUAAAGCGCGUGUAGGCGGCCAAGUAAGUCUUACGUGAAAUCCUGAGGCUCAACCUCAGGCCUGCGCGGGAUACUGCUUGGCUAGAGUCCGGAAGAGGAGAGUGGAAUUCCUGGUGUAGCGGUGGAAUGCGCAGAUAUCAGGAGGAACAUCCGUGGCGAAGGCGGCUCUCUGGGACGGUACUGACGCUGAGACGCGAAAGCGUGGGGAGCGAACAGGAUUAGAUACCCUGGUAGUCC
rnacentral:rRNA from 1 species